AGCAGUAGCCACGGGAAUACGGAGGAUCCAAGCGUUAUCCGGAAUCAUUGGGUUUAAAGGGUCUGUAGGCGGUCUUGUAAGUCAGUGGUGAAAGCCCAUCGCUCAACGGUGGAACGGCCAUUGAUACUGCAGGACUUGAAUUAUUGGGAAGUAACUAGAAUAUGUAGUGUAGCGGUGAAAUGCUUAGAGAUUACAUGGAAUACCAAUUGCGAAGGCAGGUUACUACCAAUUGAUUGACGCUGAUGGACGAAAGCGUGGGUAGCGAACAGGAUUAGAUACCCCCGUAGUCCCUGUCUCUUAUAA
rnacentral:rRNA from 1 species